GUACCAGAAGCUCUCCACCUUCUUCCAGGAGGUAUAGAACUAUAUUGUGCGGAGUGAUGACAAAUUUAAAUAAUAUGAGCUACAGGUGUUGGGUAAGUUUUACAGAGAAGCCAAACCUUCUGUUAUAAAUUUAGCAAUUGUAAAAAUCAUAUUUCAUUAACAGCCAGAUAAGAAUCUGGUGAAAUAGAAUAUAAAUACAUGUAUCUUUUAUCCAUCAUAACUGUUCUUACCUCGUACAUAGACAUACAGCAGCCAUCAAUAUUAUGGGAGUAAGAAAGUAAAUAAACAUGCCCUCAAACAUCACAACUUACUAUUUAAUGGUGCUUUUAUGGUUGGAAAAUUUGUAUUCCAAAAGAAGUAUGGUAAGAAACCAAGUC